rnacentral:rRNA from 1 species
UACGAAGGGGGCUAGCGUUGUUCGGAAUUACUGGGCGUAAAGCGCACGUAGGCGGACAUUUAAGUCAGGGGUGAAAUCCCAGAGCUCAACUCUGGAACUGCCUUUGAUACUGGGUGUCUUGAGUAUGGAAGAGGUGAGUGGAAUUCCGAGUGUAGAGGUGAAAUGCGUAGAUAUCGAGAGGAACACCAGUGGCGAAGGCGAGUCUCUGGACAUUUCCUGACGCUGAGGCACGAAAGCCAGGGGAGCAAACGGG